GACGAACGCUGGCGGCGUGCUUAACACAUGCAAGUCGAACGGAAAGACCCUGCUUUUGUUGGUUUCUCGAGUGGCGCACGGGUGUGUAACCCGUGAGUAUCCUUCCCUUGUCUUUGUGAUAACUUCAGGAAACUGCGGCUAAUACCUGAUAGGAUCUCCUGCUCCAUGGUGUUGGUUGGAAAGUUUCGGCGGUUGUGUAUGUACUCGCGGCUUAUCAGCUUGUUGGUGGGGUAGUGGCUUACCAAGGCUUGGACGGGUAGCCGGCCUGAGAGGGUGACCCGCUACAGAGGGAUUGAGAUACGGGCCAGAGGCAAACGUGAGGCAGGAGCGGGGAAUAGUGCAAAAUGGGCGGAAGGAGGAAGGAGGAACGCCGCGUGGGGGAUGACGGCCAUUGGGGUGGAAAACGCGUUAGACUGUGACGAAGCGUGAGGGAGGGUAAUGGGUAAAGAAGCACCGGUUAACUACGU
rnacentral:rRNA from 1 species